CAAGACGCCACCGCUAGAACGAAAUUGAAGGUAGGGGAAACAGAGGGAAUGGAGGGAUCCUGCUACCUGCUAUAUAAGGCCUGAAAAUAUUUGGAAAAUAUCAUAUUUGUUUCUGUCGUUGAAAGGAAAAGAUACUUCAAAAGUUGUGAUUAUCACAUGUUGAUGUACGACAAGCAUGGGUUAUGGAGGGCACGUGUUCGUCCGAUUGUUUCGUCAAGUUUAUUUUCAACUAACUGAUGUAUCCAAGAAAUUCUCAAGUUGUUGAUGCUGAAGUGGAAUUUCUGUGUUGCAGUUUCACUAAGUUAGUGAUGAUUUACAUCUGAACAACCUUGCUGGACAUAGAUCAUAGUUUUUCACUCCCAUCUGUGGAUUCUGCUUGCUUGAUGAGUUGCUGGCACCUGAUUCACUUGGAUUGGGAGAUUCUGUGUCACUGGUACCCAGUCUUUAUUCUCUGGUAACCAUAAUACUUAGGAGAUCCUUGAAAGGAAUUUUUAAAUCUGCAGGGUCACUUCAUGUCCAAUUAUGCUGUUUGCUAUUGACUAUUGUAUGUUGCAUUCAGGUGCUAACAUGAUGCUGCCCUGUCUCCAGUGUUGCUCUUGGAGGGUGUUGGACUUGUUUGGUUUUAGAUUGAUGUGGGGCUUUUUGGCUGUCUUAAGGUGAUGUUGCGUCGUGUCGGAUGUUCUAUCUCCAGGGUGUCAUUUCGGUACCGUCGGCAAAGCAUCCAAUAAGAUAGGAAGUACGAGUGGACCCUACAUACAUGGCAGGAAAAGGUCGGGAUAUGCAGUUCUGUGAUGCAGUCCAAGAUGCAUCCAAUCCAAUUAUGGUAACGAUUUCUUUAAGUCGCUAGGUCUACUUCUAUUAUGAACUUAGGUAAUUCAGUUUUUGUGGAAAGUUGACGUGUUUCUUACUUUUUUGGGCGGUAGCAGGAAUUUUGUGGCCCACUGAUCUGUUGAAUCAGAGGGGUAGGGAAAUGCUGCAGGAUGCAGGGCGGCCAAUGUUAACGUCAGCAACCACUCAACAUGUUUAAGUUAAUGAAUGGCAUUAUUCAUCUGUAAAAUCGUCAAGUAAUGUAUGAUGCGGUGUUUUAAGGAACAUUUGCUCAGGUUGUUCACAAGUUCCAUACUAUGUGAACUAAAGAGCGAUAAAACUAAGAUCCGCUUUCAGGGUUUGUUUAGCAUCCAUGAUUUGAGGUAGAUGUCAAUAUCGUGAAAUAUGUGGAAAUGUUAAGUAUAUUUGUUCGUGUACAUAAAAUAUGGUUAUCUUCUUCGUGUAUCGCCCCCAUGCAUUUAUUAUUUACUACAUUUCAUAACUUUUGUUAUGAAAAACUUUGAAGAAUGUUUAUAGUAAUUGUAAUUAACAUAAAACAAUCUUUGCAAAAUGUUUUAAUCAUAUUUAUAUAAUAUUUAGAAAAAUGUGACGAUUCAACAAAAAGCAUUUCGAAAUUGUUAAUUCGUGUGCAUUGUAUAACUAAUCGAAGUCAAAUUUACGGCGGAAAAAUGCUUAA